UCUGGUGAAUCUAGUAAACCGUCGAAACUUCUCACUCUAAAUCGCAUACUACGCAGUUGAAACAUAAUACAUACUUCAAAGUGUGUAGUUUGGAACAAACCCAUUUCAGUCACCUAAAAAUGACCUGUGCGGCUUUUGGAUGUAGUAACAGACACGCUAAGUAUUCGGAUAUUCAGAUAUUUCGAUUUCCUUUAGGUGAUCAGGCCAGGCUGAGGCAAUGGGUAAUCAACAUGAGGAGAAAGAACUGGACCCCCAACUCGUAUUCACGUCUGUGCAGUGUGCACUUUACGGAGGACCAGUUCUUCAUGCCUCAGGGAAAGAGGAGGCUGAAGAAAACCGCUGUUCCUACAAUUUUCAACUUUCCACCACAUCUGCUUAAAAAAACCACUACCAGGGCCACGCAGACCGAGGUGG